rnacentral:rRNA from 1 species
GUACAUCCUACGGGAGGCAGCAGUGGGGAAUAUUGGACAAUGGGCGCAAGCCUGAUCCAGCCAUGCCGCGUGAGUGAUGAAGGCCCUAGGGUUGUAAAGCUCUUUCACCGGUGAAGAUAAUGACGGUAACCGGAGAAGAAGCCCCGGCUAACUUCGUGCCAGCAGCCGCGGUAAUACGAAGGGGGCUAGCGUUGUUCGGAUUUACUGGGCGUAAAGCGCACGUAGGCGGACUAUUAAGUCAGGGGUGAAAUCCCGGGGCUCAACCCCGGAACUGCCUUUGAUACUGGUAGUCUUGAGUUCGAGAGAGGUGAGUGGAAUUCCGAGUGUAGAGGUGAAAUUCGUAGAUAUUCGGAGGAACACCAGUGGCGAAGGCGGCUCACUGGCUCGAUACUGACGCUGAGGUGCGAAAGCGUGGGGAGCAAACAGGAUUAGAAACCCUAGUAGUCCCAUGA